GAGGAGAAGGUACCUGCAUGCUUGGGUGUUUUAAAGAUGAAUGCAUUAUGCCUCGAUUUACAGUGUUGAAUAAUGUUCCUUCAUGUGGUCUUCUAACAGAUGAACAUCUGUUCUACAUGCUGGUUGGUUGUCUGGUUCUCACUCGUUUCUCAUUCUUAUAAUGAGUUAGUGAGCCUGAAGACUCUAAAGGAAAUUACUGGAAAGUGCCACAAGAAAGUCGUUCUCCCCUGUGACAUUUCCAUUAAGGCAGAGUCUCUUAAUGUCACUUUGUUUUCAUGGAUUUCUGACAACACAAAGAAGACGCUGUGUGAUGUUAAAAAUACAGAGUCAUCGAUGCCACACUUCAGCUGUGCCCACGAAGACCGGAGCCUUGUUCUGACCAUCCAUCAUGCGAGACUGGCUGAUGAGGGGAACUACCUCUGCAAGCUCCGAUCAAGCAUGGGAAUAAAGCAGACGUGGUCCAAGGUGAACCUCCAAGGGUUCAGAGCCAUCAGACAGGGAAACUGAGAUGACUGGAUUAUGAUGGAGACUUUAAAGUAGGUGCGGUUAGGUGAUCAGAGGGACUCUGAAGCUGCAAAAGAACAGGAGUGAUAAAAAGGGCAAGUUCUAGUGCUGAUAUGAUGUACUGGACUUGCUGAUCAUUUUGUCUCUCCAAGGUUUCCAC
rnacentral:lncRNA from 1 species